AGAGUUUGAUUAUGGCUCAGGACGAACGCUGGUGGCGUGCUUAACACAUGCAAGUCGAACGCUCUCGACCUUCGGGUCACAUGAGAGAGUGGCGAACGGGUGAGUAACACGUGAGGAACCUACCCCAAAGUCGGGAAUAACCCAGGGAAACCUGAGCUAAUACCGGAUGGCGCUCUAGAGAUCGAAUGGUCAUUAGAGGAAAGAUUUAUCGCUUUGGGACGGCCUCGCGGCCUAUCAGCUAGUUGGUGAGGUAAUGGCUCACCAAGGCAUCGACGGGUAGCUGGUUUGAGAGAACGAUCAGCCACACUGGGACUGAGACACGGCCCAGACUCCUACGGGAGGCAGCAGUGGGGAAUCUUGCACAAUGGGCGAAAGCCUGACGCAGCAACGCCGCGUGGGGGAGGAAGGCUUUCGGGUCGUAAACCCCUUUCAGCAGGAACGAAAAUGACGGUACCUGCAGAAGAAGCCCCGGCCAACUACGUGCCAGCAGCCGCGGUAACACGUAGGGGGCAAGCGUUGUCCGGAUUUAUUGGGCGUAAAGAGCUCGUAGGCGGUUCCGUAAGUCAGGUGUGAAAGUCCAAGGCUCAACCUUGGAACGCCACUUGAUACUGCGGUGACUAGAGUCCGGUAGAGGAGUGUGGAAUUCCUGGUGUAGCGGUGAAAUGCGCAGAUAUCAGGAGGAACACCAACAGCGAAGGCAGCACUCUGGGCCGGUACUGACGCUGAGGAGCGAAAGCAUGGGGAGCAAACAGGAUUAGAUACCCUGGUAGUCCAUGCCGUAAACGUUGGGCACUAGGUGUGGGACCUACUUAACGGGUUCCGUGCCGUAGCUAACGCAUUAAGUGCCCCGCCUGGGGAGUACGGCCGCAAGGCUAAAACUCAAAGGAAUUGACGGGGGCCCGCACAAGCGGCGGAGCAUGUUGCUUAAUUCGAGGCAACGCGAAGAACCUUACCUGGGCUUGAACUCCCACGAACCUGCUAGAGAUAGCGGGGUGCCUUUCGGGGAAUGUGGUGAGAGGCGCUGCAUGGCUGUCGUCAGCUCGUGUUGUGAAAUGUUGGGUUAAGUCUCGCAACGAGCGCAACCCCUAUCUUUAGUUGCCAGCAUUAAGUUGGGCACUCUAGAGAGACUGCCUGGGUUAACCAGGAGGAAGGUGGGGAUGACGUCAAGUCCUCAUGGCCCUUAUGUCCAGGGCUACACACGUAAUACAAUGGUCAAUACAGAGGGAUGCGAACUCGCGAGGGGAAGCAAAUCUCAAAAAGCUGAUCUCAGUCCGGAUUGGAGUCUGCAACUCGACUCCAUGAAGUUGGAAUCGCUAGUAAUCGUGGAUCAGCACGCCACGGUGAAUACGUUCCCGGGCCUUGUACACACCGCCCGUCACACCAUGGGAGUUGACCUUACCUGAAGUCGUGGCCCUAACAGCUUGCUGAGGGGAGCGCCUACGGUCGGACCGAUGACUGGGGUGAAGUCGUAACAAGGUAACC
rnacentral:rRNA from 1 species